rnacentral:rRNA from 1 species
AGAGUUUGAUCUUGGCUCAGGAUGAACGCUAGCGGCAGGCUUAACACAUGCAAGUCGAACGGCAAGGUUUUAGCAAUAGAACCCUAGAGUGGCGCACGGGUGAGUAACGCGUAUGCAACCUACCUUUAACUGGGAGAUAGCCCCGAGAAAUCGGGAUUAAUAUCCCAUAGUAUCAUUUUAUCGCAUGAUUUUUUGAUUAAAGAAUUUCGGUUAAAGAUGGGCAUGCGUGACAUUAGCUAGUUGGUGAGGUAACUGCUCACCAAGGCUACGAUGUCUAGGGGGUCUGAGAGGAUGAUCCCCCACACUGGUACUGAGACACGGACCAGACUCCUACGGGAGGCAGCAGUGAGGAAUAUUGGUCAAUGGGCGCAAGCCUGAACCAGCCAUGCCGCGUGCAGGAUGACGGCCCUAUGGGUUGUAAACUGCUUUUAUACAAGAAGAACCCCCUGAACGUGUUCGGGGCUGACGGUACUGUAUGAAUAAGGAUCGGCUAACUCCGUGCCAGCAGCCGCGGUAAUACGGAGGAUCCAAGCGUUAUCCGGAUUCAUUGGGUUUAAAGGGUGCGUAGGCGGAAUUAUAAGUCAGUGGUGAAAUCCUACAGCUUAACUGUAGAACUGCCAUUGAUACUGUUGUUCUUGAGUACAGUUGGAGUAGGCGGAAUGUGUCAUGUAGCGAUGAAAUGCUUAGAUAUGACACAGAACACCAAUCGCGAAGGCAGCUUGCUAAACUGUAACUGACGCUGAGGCACGAAAGCAUGGGGAGCGAACAGGAUUAGAUACCCUGGUAGUCCAUGCCGUAAACGAUGAUUACUCGAUGUAUGGACAUUAGUCUAUGCGUCCAAGCGAAAGCGUUAAGUAAUCCACCUGGGGAGUACGAUCGCAAGGUUGAAACUCAAAAGAAUUGACGGGGGCCCGCACAAGCGGAGGAGCAUGUGGUUUAAUUCGAUGAUACGCGAGGAACCUUACCUGGGUUUGAAUGCUAAGUGACUUUACUGGAAACAGUAUUUCCCUUCGGGGCACUUUGCAAGGUGCUGCAUGGCUGUCGUCAGCUCGUGCCGUGAGGUGUCGGGUUAAGUCCCAUAACGAGCGCAACCCCUAUCUUUAGUUGCCAUCAGGUCAUGCUGGGGACUCUAAAGAAACUGCCGGCGCAAGCCGCGAGGAAGGUGGGGAUGACGUCAAGUCAGCACGGCCCUUAUAUCCAGGGCUACACACGUGCUACAAUGGCCAGUACAAAGGGCAGCUACUUGGUGACAAGAUGCUAAUCUCUAAAGCUGGUCUCAGUUCGGAUUGAAGUCUGCAAUUCGACUUCAUGAAGGUGGAUUCGCUAGUAAUCGCGCAUCAGCCAUGGCGCGGUGAAUACGUUCCCGGGCCUUGUACACACCGCCCGUCAAGCCAUGGGAGUUGGGAGUACCUGAAGUCGAUAACCGAAGGGAGUCGCCUAGGGUAAAACCAGUGACUGGGGCUAAGUCGUAACAAGGUA